AAAAAUUUAAUGGAUCAUGUGUGAGCCUAAGCUUGUGCGGUCAUAAUUAAUUAGCUAACAUGCAUGUUGAGAGCUUAUGGAAUGUAUUUAUAUAUUUGACUAAAUAAUGUUGAUUUUUAGAUAUUUGAUAUUGAUGCAUUAUAUUUUAUAUUUAGAUGUGGAAAUUUGGAAGAAAUUUUGAUUGGAUUAUGAACCAGAGUUUAGAGUUCAUUGGAUUGUUGACAUAUGAGUCUUGAAAUUUUUAUUAUUCAAAGGUGAAAUUGAAUCCAAAGGAAACGCUAUCGAAAUUUAUUAUCAGUUUUAAGAAGAAUUUUCUAUUGGUCAUUAGAGUAAUUAAGCAAGCA
rnacentral:lncRNA from 1 species